GACAGAGGGUGCAAACGUUGCUCGGAAUCACUGGGCGUAAAGGGCGCGUAGGUGGCGCGGCAAGCGUGCGGUGAAAGCUCGGGGCUCAACCCCGAGUCGGCCGUGCGAACUGCUGGGCUUGAGCACUGUAGAGGCAGGCGGAAUUCCGGGUGUAGCGGUGGAAUGCGUAGAGAUCCGGAAGAACACCGGUGGCGAAGGCGGCCUGCUGGGCAGUAGCUGACACUGAGGCGCGGACAGCGUGGGGAGCAAACAGG
rnacentral:rRNA from 1 species